UACGUAGGGUGCGAGCGUUGUCCGGAAUUAUUGGGCGUAAAGAGCUCGUAGGCGGCCUGUCGCGUCGGUUGUGAAAGCCCGGGGCUCAACCCCGGGUCUGCAGUCGAUACGGGCAGGCUAGAGUUCGGUAGGGGAGAUCGGAAUUCCUGGUGUAGCGGUGAAAUGCGCAGAUAUCAGGAGGAACACCGGUGGCGAAGGCGGCUUGCUGGGCCUUACCUGACGCUGAGGAGCGAAAGCGUGGGGAGCGAACAGG
rnacentral:rRNA from 1 species